ensembl:snRNA U6 U6 spliceosomal RNA
GUGCUUAAUUUUACAGCACAUAUACUAAACUAGAACCAUACAGAGAUUAGCAUGGCCCCUGCCCAAGGAUGUCACACAAAUUUGUGAAGGGUUCCAUAUUUUU